GUUGUAGUUCAGAUAUUUGCCCGAACUCUCCUCGGGCAGCGGCUCGGAGGUCCGAGGCGGUCUACCGCCUUCCGCGCUUGUUUCACGGGAUGGAUCCAGGGCCGGGGACCGACGCGUCUCCGCUGGCUGGGCUGGCCUGGUCGUCGGCCUCCGCGCCUCCGCCGCGGGGAUUCAGUGCGAUCUCCUGCACCGUGGAGGGGGCUCCUGCUAGCUUCGGCAAGACCUUCGGGCAGAAAUCUGGCUACUUCCUGUGCCUCAAUCCUUUGGGCAGCCUAGAGAAUCCACAGGAGAAUGUGGUGGUCGAUAUCCAGGUCCUGGUGGACAAGAGUCCCCUCCCGCCAGGAUUCUCCCCAGUCUGUGACCCCCUGGACUCCAAGGCCUCUGUGUCAAAGAAGAAACGCAUGUGUGUGAAGCUGGUGCCCUUGGGGGUCGCAGACACGGCUGUAUUUGACGUCCGGCUGAGUGGGAAGACCAAGACGGUGCCUGGUUACCUGCGAGUAGGGGACAUGGGUGGCUUUGCCAUCUGGUGCAAGAAGGCCAAGGCCCCACGUCCAGUGCCCAAGCCCCGAGCUCUCAGCCGAGAUAUGAGGGACCUCUCCCUGGACCCGCCUGGACAGCCCAGCAAGGGUGGCUUCCUGGAGCGGACGCUGUCAAGGCUGGGCUCCCGGGCGUCUACCCUGCGGAGAAGCGACUCCAUCUAUGAGGCCUCCAACCUCUAUGGCAUGUCAGCCAUGGAUGGGGUUCCCUUCACACUGCACCCCCGAUUUGAGGGCAAGAGCUGUGGCCCCCUGGUUGGGGCCUGACCUGCUCCUGCCUGCCAGGCCUUCUCUGCCUUUGCUGAUCUGACUAUCAAGUCGCUGGCGGACAUCGAGGAGGAGUACAACUAUGGCUUCGUGGUGGAGAAGACCGCGGCUGCCCGCCUGCCCCCCAGCGUCUCUUAGCCCCAAACCAGCUCCAGGGAAGAGCCCCCUGCCUGACACUCCUUGACCGACAGCUGUCCACCCCAUUCUAUUUUGGGAACCUUGGCAGUGCAAGGCAUUCCGGACCCUCGGCCACCCAGUGGAGCUGCAGCCCUGGAAGAGGGGGUGGGACUGGGUCUGUUUGGUGAUGGGGCCCCCUGCCCAGUGGGCAGGGGUUGGGGCUGGACGGAAACCAGUGCCUUCAAGUCACUUGUGUCAAAACUCUGAUGCCUGGAGGCCAUGCAGGCAUCCUCCUGGUAAUAAACACUACGCUGUCUGUGCCA